UAAGAGCUUGCUCUUAUGAAGUUAGCGGCGGACGGGUGAGUAACACGUGGGUAACCUGCCCAUAAGACUGGGAUAACUCCGGGAAACCGGGGCUAAUACCGGAUAACAUUUUGAACUGCAUGGUUCGAAAUUGAAAGGCGGCUUCGGCUGUCACUUAUGGAUGGACCCGCGUCGCAUUAGCUAGUUGGUGAGGUAACGGCUCACCAAGGCAACGAUGCGUAGCCGACCUGAGAGGGUGAUCGGCCACACUGGGACUGAGACACGGCCCAGACUCCUACGGGAGGCAGCAGUAGGGAAUCUUCCGCAAUGGACGAAAGUCUGACGGAGCAACGCCGCGUGAGUGAUGAAGGCUUUCGGGUCGUAAAACUCUGUUGUUAGGGAAGAACAAGUGCUAGUUGAAUAAGCUGGCACCUUGACGGUACCUAACCAGAAAGCCACGGCUAACUACGUGCCAGCAGCCGCGGUAAUACGUAGGUGGCAAGCGUUAUCCGGAAUUAUUGGGCGUAAAGCGCGCGCAGGUGGUUUCUUAAGUCUGAUGUGAAAGCCCACGGCUCAACCGUGGAGGGUCAUUGGAAACUGGGAAGACUUGAGUGCAGAAGAGGAAAAGUGGUAAUUCCAUGUGUAGCGGUGAAAUGCGUAGAGAUAUGGAGGAAC
rnacentral:rRNA from 1 species